AACCUAGCACACCUGCGGUGUGUACCUGCGGAGGGAUCAUUACCUAUUUGGCCUUUGUGGCUACGCUCGGGGGGCCUUUGGUCCCCGUCUGCACCCUUGUCUUUGCGCACUCAUGUUUCCUCGGUGGGCUUGCCUGCCGCUAGGACAACCUAAACUCUUGAAUUUUCAAUCAGCGUCUGAUAACAAUAAUAUUUACAACUUUUAACAACGGAUCU
rnacentral:misc_RNA from 1 species